rnacentral:piRNA from 1 species
CCACCACUUCUUCAGGAGAGGGCCUGUGGGC